GGGCGCAUGGUGGCUUAGUGGUUAGCAUGUUCGUCUCAUGCCUCCAGGGUCGGGGGUUCAAUUCUCACCGUGGCCC